rnacentral:pre_miRNA from 1 species
AGUGGAAUAGUUGGGUCAUAUGGCAACUCUCUGUCUAAUAAUCUGAGGAAGUACCAAAUUGUUUUCCAAAGUGGCUGCACUAUUUUACAACCCCCCUAACAAU